GCCGGGGUGGCGGAAUGGUAGACGCGGACGGCUCAAACCCGUCUGGCCGUAACAGGCUGUAGGGGUUCAAGUCCCCUUCCCGGUA
rnacentral:tRNA from 1 species